GACGGAGGGGGCAAGCGUUGUUCGGAUUUACUGGGCGUAAAGGGCGCGUAGGCGGUAGCACAAGUCAGUUGUGAAAUCUCCGGGCUUAACUCGGAAAGGUCAACUGAUACUGUGCGACUAGAGUGCAGAAGGGGCAACUGGAAUUCUCGGUGUAGCGGUGAAAUGCGUAGAUAUCGAGAGGAACACCUGCGGCGAAGGCGGGUUGCUGGGCUGACACUGACGCUGAGGCGCGAAAGCCAGGGGAGCGAACGGG
rnacentral:rRNA from 1 species